GCGCCUAAUCGUGUCAGUACUAUCCGGCCAUCGUUCUGACGCACAAGAUGGAAUGGCCGGUGUUUUUGAACUUUAGAAAGAAUAUCCGAACACACGCAACGUUCGUCGGUGUCAUAUUGAUUCUAUAUGCGAUAUUCUCUAUCCUUACUGGAGUGGCUUGGUGGUUGGAGGUAAAAGUGCAGACCGGAUCGGACAAAAUAGAUUAUGAAGUGAAAGCUGACGCAUCCAGUCCUAAGAGCAAGAGGUCAAUUGAUGCGGGGUGGUCAUUCAAUGCAGUGGGCGAUGGUGGAUCCGACACAACCAGGUUGCGGAGAUCAAUUCGAAAAUUUUUUUCUUCGAAGAGUAAAAAGAAAAGGGUUAAUACAAUGUUCUCGGCAUUCAACCACGAGAUCAACCAGUAUAACAACCAGGAGAUCAAUCAGGACAACACUCAAUACAUCAACCAGAGGAUCAGCCAAGAUACCAUUCAGAAGGUCAUCCAGGAGAUCAACCAGGAGAUCAACCUGGAGAUCAUGUUCAUCAAAGUAGGCUUCCUCAUCAUGAGUAUUGUGAGUUCGUUCAUUACAAUUAUGUACUGGAUCGCGUAUCUCAAGCGUCAACAGUUGUUUCUCGUAAUAUUUAUCGGACUUAUGGCCGUUGCUUUCGCGGCUCUAUCCAUCGGGAUGUUCGUCAUGAUACAGCAGCUGAAAUUCAUCUGGGCGUGCGCAAUGCUAUUCGGAUUCCUCGUGACCGGAUAUGUGCUGACGGUGGCGCUGCAACUGCAUUCCAAUUUUAAAUUUACCCGUCGACGACAAGCAUACGGCACCGAGGUGUGUGUGCUUCCCUUGAAUUAAUGGUAACAAAUUUGCAACGCUAUUCUUAAAUACAUGAAAAAUGAGCCAGCACCACAUGUUCUCGCUAUCGGACUUUGAUGGAAUCAGGGAAGCCACCAGCCACGAGAUCAACCAGGAUAUCAACCAGGAUAUCAACCAGAAAUCCACUCAAUACACCAACCAAUACCAAACCUAUUUUGAAAUUGGCAGUAUGUAUUAGCUGUACCCGUAACAAAAUCAAUUAAAUUCAGCAAUGGUUCUAAGAAAAGCGAUUUUUUUUUGCUUUUUUGAUUGUACAGUUGGCUUUUUCGAAGCUGCUAAGAAUAUUAUAUAUUUUCUUAUAUAUGUAAUAUAUAUAUUUUCUUAUGUAGAAAGGUGAGUUAUUUGCAAAAAAUGCAAACGAUCGACACAUUGUGGUGCAACUUCGUCUAGGUGAUUGUGAUCAGUCCUCUAUUGAUCAUCGUACGAAAACGCAUCGUUUUAGCAACAUAAAACCAACGUACCAAGUGAGAUCGGGUUAGCUUGUUCGGUAGAUGUAUUUGAUAUUCUAAACGCGAUGCUUCCAUUGUGAGAGCACGUUACAAAUCUUUCAUUUCGAAAGGAAACAUAAAACCACACAAGAUUGUUUGCAUAUAAUAUACACGAUUGUGCGAACAAAAUUUAAUCGAUCAACUUAACACGAAUUGACAUUACACGAAGCUCUACCUGGAGAGAACAUCUCUACGGUGUAUGGAUGGAGCUAUGCACAGAAAAGUGGUUGUGUGUAUUGGUGUGAUCGGCUAAGUACACGGAACCAGAGUGUAAAGUGGAGAAUUUAUGGCCCCGAGAAGCGGGACAUAUCGUAGUGGUGCUGGCGACGCUACGAACCUGCUCCUAGGUUCUGCAUUCAGAAUCUGUUGAGAAACAUUAGAUUGUUAAAUGUAAUUACUUAAAUGCGAAUUUGUAGAGGGUUUAUGCGUAAGCGUAAACAUUGUUUCAUUUAGUCCCGCAGAACACAAAGUUGUGAACGUCGGGAUGAAAAAACAUACUGACCUAAAGACCAUUCAGCAGCGCACAUAAAUGAGUAGAGGAUCUAAAAUCAUUAACAUCAAGUAUACUCCAGCGUUUCGGUUAGCUUAUGCACAACCCGUUCCUAAGUUAUCCCCAUUUCUUUGUAUCGAGGUGAUUCAACACUCCAGCCUCUAGCUGGGUUUUGCCAAAUUUUGAUAAGCACAGCAGCAGUGCUUCAUAUAAUUUCAGAUAGAAUGCCUUUUAGUAGAACAAUAUGCAUCAUUUAGGAUGUAAAUUGCUGUGUAAUUUGCACAUUAGACAAAUCUUGCAUAUUUUUAGUUCUGUACGAUGUACAGUCAGUUCUCGAAUUAGCUACAUUCCAUCGUUUCGAUGUGAUUCAUUCCAGCGACUAGCUGGUUGUCGCCAAGAUUAGGAUAACACAGCGGCAUUGGUCAGGAAAUAGCCCCACUAAAUCAGCAAUCGGCAGCUGCAUCUGCAGCUGCGAUGCAGCAGUUGUGCAGCACCCGAAUUACGAAUGGCCACCAACAGUUCACAGCUAGCACCCGAUCGUGUCGGUAGUAUCCAGUCACCACUCUUCGCAUUAUAAUCUUAGCAGUCACAAAAGAUGGGUUUGCCGACGUUUUUAAACUUUAACAAAAACAUCCAGAAACACGCCAUGGCCGUGGGUAUAAUAUUGACGCUUUACACGAUCUUCACUCUGCUUAUCGGAGUGGCGUGGUUAAUUGAGAUCAAAGAGCAGGCCACCCUGUACAAGUUAGAUUUUCGGGUGGACUUAACCGGCAUCCGAACAAUCAACCCGAGGACGGCCGGCUUUUGGGAGAAGGAAGGCUUCCUCGUCAUGGGCAUUGGGUUCGCGAUCCUUGCAGUACUGUACUGGAUCACCUACCUCAUGCGUCAACGGUUGCUCCUCGCAGUGUUUAUCGGACUUAUGGUCAUAAUUGUCACGCUUAACAUCAUCGGGAUGGUUGCCGCGGGGCUGAAGCUGAAAUUCGUGUUAGCGUGCGUAGUGAUGUUCGGCCUCCCCGUCAACGUGUACAUGCUGGUGGUGGCGCUGCAACUGCAUAAAUCAAAAUUCAUAUUUACCACGCGACAACAAGGAUAAAGGAGUCUAAGAGUGUGCGUGUUUGUUUCCCCGUGAGGCGAUCGUUGUAGUACAGCAUGUCCAACCAUAACCAUAAGCCAGCGUUGCCAAACUUGUGUUAUCCACAAUAAUUUUUGUGACUUAUCAACGCACUCAUUUGCCGUUUUCGUAUAAUAUAAUCUUGUUUCUUGUUUAUUUAUUAAACGGCCAAAGUUCCGAAACUGACAUAGACCGAACUAAUGGGAGAUUGUCAUUUAUCCAUUGCCAUUGAUUAGAAUAAAAAUAAAAAUUAAUGAUUGUUGGAUGAGCGAUGACAGUUUGCAAAUAA